AAAAUUUUAGUUUAAUUAAAAUUUAAUACUUACAAUAUUAAGAUAUAUUUAUUAUAAAUUUUU
rnacentral:tRNA from 1 species